rnacentral:rRNA from 1 species
ACGUGAUCUGAGUUCAGACCGGAGCAAUCCAGGUCGGUUUCUAUCUAUAACAGAGCUUAUUCUAGUACGAAAGGACCGAAAAAGCGUGGCCUAUGCUUAAAGCAAGCCACCGCUAGUAACUCCUGCCAUCAACUUAAUUGGCCACUAGCCUUCAACCUCCCUCAAGACAAGAGA